rnacentral:rRNA from 1 species
UACGUAGGGUGCAAGCGUUAAUCGGAAUUACUGGGCGUAAAGCGUGCGCAGGCGGUUAUGUAAGACAGAUGUGAAAUCCCCGGGCUCAACCUGGGAACUGCAUUUGUGACUGCGUAACUAGAGUACGGUAGAGGGGGAUGGAAUUCCGCAUGUAGCAGUGAAAUGCGUAGAUAUGCGGAGGAACACCGAUGGCGAAGGCAAUCCCCUGGACCUGUACUGACGCUCAUGCACGAAAGCGUGGGGAGCAAACAGG